GCUAACUACGUGCCAGCAGCCGCGGUAAUACGUAGGUGGCAAGCGUUAUCCGGAAUUAUUGGGCGUAAAGCGCGCGUAGGCGGUUUUUUAAGUCUGAUGUGAAAGCCCACGGCUCAACCGUGGAGGGUCAUUGGAAACUGGAAAACUUGAGUGCAGAAGAGGAAAGUGGAAUUCCAUGUGUAGCGGUGAAAUGCGCAGAGAUAUGGAGGAACACCAGUGGCGAAGGCGACUUUCUGGUCUGUAACUGACGCUGAUGUGCGAAAGCGUGGGGAUCAAACAGGAUUAGAUACCCUGGUAGUC
rnacentral:rRNA from 1 species